rnacentral:rRNA from 1 species
AUUGAACGCUGGCGGCAGGCUCAACACAUGCAAGUCGAGCGGAGAGAGGUAGCUUGCUACUGAUCUUAGCGGCGGACGGGUGAGUAAUGCUUAGGAAUCUGCCUAUUAGUGGGGGACAACAUUUCGAAAGGAAUGCUAAUACCGCAUACGUCCUACGGGAGAAAGCAGGGGAUCUUCGGACCUUGCGCUAAUAGAUGAGCCUAAGUCGGAUUAGCUAGUUGGUGGGGUAAAGGCCUACCAAGGCGACGAUCUGUAGCGGGUCUGAGAGGAUGAUCCGCCACACUGGGACUGUGACACGGCCCAGACUCCUACGGGAGGCAGCAGUGGGGAAUAUUGGACAAUGGGCGGAAGCCUGAUCCAGCCAUGCCGCGUGUGUGAAGAAGGCCUUAUGGUUGUAAAGCACUUUAAGCGAGGAGGAGGCUACUUUAGUUAAUACCUAGAGAUAGUGGACGUUACUCGCAGAAUAAGCACCGGCUAACUCUGUGCCAGCCGCCGCCGUAA